rnacentral:rRNA from 1 species
AUACGUAGGGGGCGAGCGUUGUCCGGAAUGAUUGGGCGUAAAGGGCGCGUAGGCGGCCCGGUAAGUCUGGAGUGAAAAUCCUGUUUUUAAGAUGGGAAUUGCUUUGGAUACUGUCGGGCUUGAGGGCAGGAGAGGUAAGUGGAAUUCCCAGUGUAGCGGUGAAAUGCGUAGAGAUUGGGAGGAACACCAGUGGCGAAGGCGACUUACUGGACUGUAACUGACGCUGAGGCGCGAAAGAGUGGGGAGCAAACAGGAUUAGAUACCCUGGUAGUCCACACUGUAAACGAUGAAUGCUAGGUGUAGGGGGUAUCGACCCCUUCUGUGCCGCAGUCAACACAAUAAGCAUUCCGCCUGGGGAGUAUGGCCGCAAGGUUGAAACUCAAAGGAAUUGACGGGG